CAGGCCUAACACAUGCAAGUCGAGCGAAGUCUUCGGACUUAGCGGCGGACGGGUGAGUAACGCGUGGGAACGUGCCCUUCGGUACGGAAUAGCCCAGGGAAACUUGGAAUAAUACCGUAUGCGCCCUUCGGGGGAAAGAUUUAUCGCCGAGGGAUCGGCCCGCGUCUGAUUAGGUUGUUGGUGGGGUAAAGGCCCACCAAGCCGACGAUCAGUAGCUGGUUUGAGAGGAUGAUCAGCCACACUGGGACUGAGACACGGCCCAGACUCCUACGGGAGGCAGCAGUGGGGAAUCUUGGACAAUGGGGGAAACCCUGAUCCAGCCAUGCCGCGUGAGCGAAGAAGGCCUUAGGGUUGUAAAGCUCUUUCAACGGUGAAGAUAAUGACGGUAGCCGUAGAAGAAGCCCCGGCUAACUCCGUGCCAGCAGCCGCGGUAAUACGGAGGGGGCUAGCGUUGUUCGGAAUUACUGGGCGUAAAGCGCGCGUAGGCGGGUUGGUAAGUCAGGGGUGAAAUCCCGGAGCUCAACUCCGGAACUGCCCUUGAUACUGCCAGCCUGGAGAUCUGGAGAGGUGAGUGGAAUUCCGAGUGUAGAGGUGAAAUUCGUAGAUAUUCGGAGGAACACCAGUGGCGAAGG
rnacentral:rRNA from 1 species